UCAAUAAUUACCAGAAUUUCGGAACUCAGGUUCUGCAAUUAUGCAGAAGCAGAAAUGAUUCUAUUCCAGAAGACUGAGAUCUUAGACGUGCCGAACGUAGAAAAGGACAACACGAGUGAAAGGGAAAAAGGGACUGAGAGUUUGAAGUGUUUGUACCUACAUACAUCGCCUGAGCGAUAUAUGAUAUUGGAUCAUAUUAUACUACUCGACAGGGCCGGCGCAAGGCAGAUUCAGCGUGUUUAUCGAAACUCGGCGUUUUGAGAGGUUUCGCAGUCUACGAAAAUUACCCAAUUAAAAAACACCGAUUUUGAUUAACUUUUUACAGAAUGAUGAUAUCAUUAACAGAUGCAAGACAUUUUUUUUAGUAGCGAUGAUUCAGUUUAAAGGAGUGACGAAAGUCAUCAAAGUUCAGUGUAACUCAAUAAAAUCCUCAUAUCCUGGAAACUACUUUAGAUUUUGUACUUUCAUUGAAUCUUUUGCCCCUUGAAAGCGAAUUAUGAAUGCGAAAAAAAUUACUUGGAUUUGUUUUAAAAAACUGCUUACAAAGAUAGAGAUAAGACUCCCCAAUUUUUUGAAGUCUGUCGACGAGUCGCAGCUCCUACGAACUUGCAUAGGAACUGGGCAUAGCAACGCCUGACAUUUAUUAGUGGUUGUGUGUCAGUUGCCGUCUUGCGGUUCAUAUGUCUUAAACAAAAACGCAUGAGGCUAUAGCAUUGUUACGGUCUUUGAUGCUGAACGUUAGUCAAUCUCACGACGCAAGGACUGUGAUCAUUACGUUUUGGUAAAUUUAAGACGACGAAUGUUUUUCAAAAUUACAUUAUGGUAUAAACUAUGACAUAUACAUUUUCAAAACGUUUGAUUUCUGAACCGCUAUGGCUAGCAGAGAUAGAGAUCGUGGACAGAAAUACUUAAGCGGGACAGAAAAACUGAAACAGAAGAAGCAGCGGGACGAUUAUAUUAAACAGCAAACGAACAACAUUUUGAAGUAUGUAAUUGAAGCUACUAGUCAUUAAAGACAGCCAAACAAAGAUAAAAAACAUACGGCAAUGAAUUAGAUCCCUUUGGAAGAGGAAAACCAAGAGUUGAAUACACCUGCGAAGGAAAAUAAAGAAGACAUCAACGAAACUGAAUUGGACGAAAAUGGAAACAAUAGAAAAACGAGCGAUUGUGAAAUUCAUCAAGAAAAAGAUAUUGAAAAUGUGGAAAUUGAAGCACAAAAA